AAAGGUAAGCUACUAAGAGCGAAUGGUGGAUGCCUUGACUGGUAAAGGCGAUGAAGGACGUACUAGACUGCGAUAAGCUACGGGGAGCUGUCAAGAAGCUUUGAUCCGUAGAUUUCCGAAUGGGGCAACCCAAUGUAUAGAGAUAUACAUUACCUAUAUAGGAGCGAACGAGGGGAAUUGAAACAUCUUAGUACCCUCAGGAAAAGAAAUCAAUAGAGAUUGCGUCAGUAGCGGCGAGCGAAAGCGCAAGAGGGCAAACCCAGUGCUUGCACUGGGGGUUGUAGGACUGCAAUGUGCAAGAGGUAAGUUUAGCAGAACAUUCUGGAAAGUAUAACCAUAGAGGGUGAUAGUCCCGUAUGCGAAAAACAAACCUUAGCUAGCAGUAUCCUGAGUAGGGCGGGACACGAGGAAUCCUGUCUGAAUCUGGGUCGACCACGAUCCAACCCUAAAUACUAAUACC
rnacentral:rRNA from 1 species